rnacentral:rRNA from 1 species
UACGUAGGGUGCAAGCGUUAAUCGGAAUUACUGGGCGUAAAGCGUGCGCAGGCGGUUAUGUAAGACAGAUGUGAAAUCCCCGGGCUCAGCCUGGGAACUGCAUUUGUGACUGCAUAGCUAGAGUACGGUAGAGGGGGAUGGAAUUCCGCGUGUAGCAGUGAAAUGCGUAGAUAUGCGGAGGAACACCGAUGGCGAAGGCAAUCCCCUGGACCUGUACUGACACUCAUGCACGAAAUCGUGGGGAUCAAACAGG